rnacentral:rRNA from 1 species
GUUCUCCGCAUUGGGACCUCCAUCUCGAUUGGACCCGGUGCCGCCACCUUGUUCUGGUUCGAGAGGUGGGUUGGGGAUCUCCCAUUUGCUGCUCGGUUCCUCGACUUGUUCUCCAUCGCGGUGGAACCUAGGAUCUCCGUCGAGGUCUGCCUUAUUGACUUGGGGAGCCUCACGUUCCGGCGGCCAUUUGGGCCUCCGGACCUUGUUGCGUGGCACGGGCUCCUUGACUGCAUCGCUCUUCAUGAGCCGGACGUGGAUCUAGCGACCGAUCGCAUAUCCUGGUGUCUGGAGCCUUCGGGUGUCUUUUCCACUAAAUCCAUGUACCAGGCCAUCAUGCGCACACCUACCCCUUUGCCUCUAUCUGCGGUGAGGAUUAUUAGACAGCCGCUGAAGAUUAGGAUCUUCUUGUGGUAAUGGAUUCAGGGUCGGAUCCCUUCAGGUGUGGAGGUCCUCAAGAGGAAUGGUCCUGGUGACGGGAUGUGCCCCCUAUGCGGGACAGACGAGGACUCGAAUCACAUAUUCUUCACUUGCUUGUCCGCUCAAUUCUUCUAG